GGAGUUGUAGCUCAGUGAUAGAGCGCUUGCCUCACAUGUGUGAGGCCCUGAGUUCAAUCCUCAGCACCA
rnacentral:tRNA from 1 species